rnacentral:rRNA from 1 species
UACGUAGGGGGCAAGCGUUGUCCGGAUUUAUUGGGCGUAAAGAGCGUGUAGGCGGCUAGGUAGGUCCGUUGUGAAAACUCGAGGCUCAACCUCGAGCUGUCGAUGGAAACCAUCUGGCUAGAGUCCGGAAGAGGAGAGUGGAAUUCCUGGUGUAGCGGUGAAAUGCGCAGAUAUCAGGAGGAACACCGGUGGCGAAGGCGGGAUCCUGGGCCAGUACUGACGCUGAGGAGCGAAAGCGUGGGGAGCAAACAGG